rnacentral:lncRNA from 1 species
CUUUUUAUAGCUUCAUAGACUGGUCUGGUGCAUGAGUCAUGAAUCUUAAGCUGAAACUCCUUGUCAAACUACUUAAUUCGAUAACUCAUAAGGGAACUUAGAGAAUGGAGGGUAGGAUCCAGACAUAAGGCCUGAGAAAAUAUUGUUUGUUCGCAAACAAAACAAAAAGUUAUGUUUCUAGUUCCCCAGUUCCAUGUGGACUACAUCAGUCACCCUCCAUUUCACACGACGGCUCAUAUAACCAAACCAAUACUCAGCCCUCCAAAGCCAGAAUCCUCAACAAACAGCAAAUCUGACCAAAAAACUGAUCUUAAAUGCUGGUUCCAGCUCCCAAAAAGAAAAACGCAAAUAGGACACAAUUUUCGACCUAAUAAUGGCUAUCAGCAAGAUUCUGAAGAUCCUACUAUCUUGGGUAAAGCAUGUCCUAUGUCACACCUAUGCAGCCAAAAAAAAAAAAAAAAAGACCAAACGCAGUCACAGUCCAAUGUCAUGCAACAAUAGAUUAAUCCUCGUCAUUCCCAUGAUAAUGAUAAUGGAAGCACAUGGUACCUUUAGCAUCAACUGAGUCCUCAGGGGGGAUACUAAAAGUUCAAGCGCAUGAGUCCUCAGGGGAAUAAACUUAAACUUCAACAUCAUACAUUAUUGCUAUAAAAUUCAAAAGAUACAACCAGUAGCGAAGCCAAAAAUAUUUCCAAGGGUGUUCAAACUUGAAAGGAGAAAAAAAAUUCCGACAAUGGGUGUUCAACAUAGGUUUUAUAUAUUUAAAAUUAAUAUUUUACUUCUAUACACAGUGUGAUUUUUCAUAAUUUUUCGGCAAAGGGUGGUCGGCUGACCACCCUUUGCAAAAGGUGGCUUCGCCCAUGGAUACAACUAAAUACUUUAUGCACCUUUGAUUUCCUCAAGAGCCACAUACUACACAUACUACACAUAUACAGGGAGGAUGUAAGCAUGGAGUAGCCAAUAAUUUCAGAUCGAACUCUCUAUGUAUAAAUAUGCGUGUG